rnacentral:rRNA from 1 species
AUUGAACGCUGGCGGCAGGCCUAACACAUGCAAGUCGAGCGAGCGGCGGACGGGUGAGUAAGGUAUGGGGAUCUGCCCGAUAGAGGGGGAUAACAACUGGAAACGGUGGCUAAUACCGCAUACUAUCGGAUGAACCCAUAUGGGAUUAGGUAGUUGGUGAGAAAAAGGCUCACCAAGCCGACGAUCUCUAGCUGGUCUGAGAGGAUGACCAGCCACACGGGGACUGAGACACGGCCCAGACUUCUACGGGAGGCAGCAGUGGGGAAUAUUGCGCGAUGGGGGCAACCCUGACGCAGCCAUGCCGCGUGAAUGAAGAAGGCCUUCGGGUUGUAAAGUUCUUCGGUAGCGAGGCGUUUACUACAGAAGAAGCACCGGCUAACUCCGUGCCAGCCCCGCGGUAAAC